UACAUUCUCUCAUCUAAGGCAUUAAUGGCUUAGGAUGAAUAUAUUUGAUUUAUUUCCACUUCAUACUCUUUUUGGAUUUUUCAAGCCAUUAGGCAAGUUGCACUUCUUUUGUCAACGUUUUGUUCUCUCCUUUGCUUACCAUAUUUCUCAUGACCUCUGUAGUACUAAUAUAAAUCAGUUGCUACCAAUGAUGGUUGCCAUUUUCAGCUGCAAUCCUGAAUUGGCUAAAAAUGAACCAGGGUUAAUACUGC
rnacentral:lncRNA from 1 species